GGGGGACUGGAGGCCCCCAGCGCGCUGUGGGGCAGGGCUUGGGGGUCCCAGCCCCACACUUUCUGUGGGGCAGGGCUUGGGUGUCCCAGCCCCACACUUUCUAUGGGGCAGGGCUUGGGGGUCCCAGCCCCACACUUUCUAUGGGGCAGGCUGUGGGGUCCCAGCCCCCCCGGCACGCUAUGGGGCGCGCUAUGGGGCAGGGUCUCAGCCCCACUGAUUUCCUAUGGGGCAGGCUAUGGGGUCCCAGCCCCCCAGCACGCUAUGGGGCAGGCCGUGGGUCACGCUAUGGGGCAGGCUAUGGGGUAGGCUAUGGGGUCCCAGCCCCCCAGCACGCUAUGGGGCAGGCUAUGGGGCAGGCCAUGGGGUCCCAGCCCCCCAGCACGCUAUGGGGCAGGCUAUGGGGCAGGCCAUGGGGUCCCAGCCCCACACCUGCUAUGGUGCAGGCCAUGGGGGACACUAUGGGGCAGGCUAUGGGGCACGCUAUGGGGCAGGCUUUCAGCCCCACUGAUUUCCUAUGGGGCAGGCUAUGGGGUCCCAGCCCCCCGGCGUGCUAUGGGGCAGGCUAUGGGGUGCACUAUGGGGCGCGCUAUGGGGUCCCAGCCCCACACCUGCUAUGGGGCACACUAUGGGGCAGGCUAUGGGGCACGCUAUGGGGCACGCUAUGGGGCAGGCUUUCAGCCCCACUGAUCUCCUAUGGGGCAGGCUAUGGGGUCCCAGCCCCCCCGGCACGCUAUGGGGCACGCUAUGGGGCAGGGUCUCAGCCCCACUGAUUUCCUAUGGGGCACGCUAUGGGGCAGGCUAUGGGGCAGGCCAUGGGGUCCCAGCCCCACACCUGCUAUGGGGCACACCAUGGGGCAGGCUAUGGGGCAGGCUAUGGGGCAGGGUCUCAGCCCCACUGAUUUCCUAUGGGGCAGGCCAUGGGGUCCCAGCCCCCCGGCGUGCUAUGGGGCAGGCCGUGGGUCACGCUAUGGGGCAGGCUAUGGGGCGCGCUAUGGGGUCCCAGCCCCACGCCUGCUAUGGGGCAGGCCAUGGGGCACACUAUGGGGCAGGCUGUGGGGUGCGCUAUGGGGCAGGCUAUGGGGCAGGCUAUGGGGUCCCAGCCCCCCGGCACGCUAUGGGGUGCGCUAUGGGGCAGGGUCUCAGCCCCCCUGAUUUCCUAUGGGGCACGCUAUGGGGCAGGGUCUCAGCCCCACUGAUUUCCUAUGGGGCAGGCCAUGGGGUCCCAGCCCCCUGGCGCGCUAUGGGGCAGGCCAUGGGUCACGCUAUGGGGCGCGCUAUGGGGCAGCCCCCCCCCUCUGCCCCCCGUCGCCCCCCCCAAGAAGCCGGG
rnacentral:lncRNA from 1 species